GACGUAGGGCGCGAGCGUUGUCCGGAUUUAUUGGGCGUAAAGAGCUCGUAGGCGGCUCGUCGCGUCGGCUGUGAAAACCCGCGGCUUAACUGUGGGCUUGCAGCUGAUACGGGCGGGCUAGAGUUCGGUAGGGGAGACUGGAAUUCCUGGUGUAGCGGUGAAAUGCGCAGGAUAUCAGGAGGAACACCGGUGGCGAAGGCGGGUCUCUGGGCCGAUACUGACGCUGAGGAGCGAAAGCGUGGGGAGCGAACAGG
rnacentral:rRNA from 1 species